GGAUGCUACCGGGCGACCGGAUGCGGAUCUCGAAAGCCUGUCCCAGUUCGGACUGGAGUCUGCAACCCGACUCCACGAAGUUGGAUUCGCUAGUAAUCGCGCAUCAGCCAUGGCGCGGUGAAUACGUUCCCGGGCCUUGUACACACCGCCCGUCAAGCCAUGGGAGCCGGGGGCGCCUGGAGUCCGGGACCGCGAGGACCGGCCUAGGGCGAAACUGGUAACUGGGGCUAAGUCGUAACAAGGUAAC
rnacentral:rRNA from 1 species